GCUGCACUCACACACUUUGGGGAGAAGCUUGGGAAGCCCAGUGAAAGGGGGCUGUAUCCGUGUGUGAUUACCGUGGGACUGGGAGCUGCAGCAGCUCCAGAAGUGACAGUCCUACAGAGCACCCUCUGGAACCUCUGAGCUGCCACCUAAGAAGUUUGCCUCAGCCGAGUCUGCCAUGCUGCAGGAGUGCUCCAGCUGACAGUCCCAGCUAGCCCUGCUUCCAGCCAUAGCUUCCAGGAUGUCAGACACGAAAUACUGCUUGAAGUGACUACUGAAAAGAUGCUGCUGCUGCUGCUGCUGCUGCUAAGUCGCUUCAGUUGUGUCCGACUCUGUUUGACCCCAUAGACGAAAGCCCACCAGG